AAGGGGGAAGGAGUGCAUCUCAGAGCUCCAUGGAGAAGCUUGGUGGAAAGUCCAAAGCCAGGAAGAGGGGAACUAUAGAAGCCCUGGAGAGACGACAGCCGCACUGCAGCAAGGACUGGAGCUGAUGGUGGGGAGCUAAAACACAAACCCUGCAACUAAAAGAGAUGAGUUAUCCAGAUCUGCUACAAACAUUCAACAUGUGACUUGGAGCUAGUAAUUCCUCUAAGCUGGCACUGGCAGGACUAAGGGCUGGAAGAGUCCCCACCUGAGCUGGAAGAGGAGCAGGAGAGACUUAAAUUCUUGGCAUAUUCAGAAAUGCACUGAUGACUAAGGCUGCUCUGAGAUCAUCUAUAGUGGCUGCUCUCAAGCAUGCUGAAGACCAGGAGCUCCAGAAUGUCUACAUGGGGACAUCCUACACUGGCCUAAGCAGUACGCUGGAUGCUGGGACACACUACUGUCAUGGUAUAUCUAUAACUGGAGACCUACCUAAAUCACAAUUUUGCAGAAACUGUGAAAAACAGUGUUGUCUGUGAUUGUUGCAAUUGCUGGGAAAUCUGGCUUUGGUAGUGAUUUUCU